rnacentral:lncRNA from 1 species
ACAUGGACACAUGAAAAAAAAAUAUUUACUUGUGUGCAGGUCGAGGACAACACCGUGACAUACAGACUCACAUUCCCUAACACAACGUACUUGGAAAGUAUCUAGAAACAGACUAUCUAGUGCAUGCAUAUGUACCCAGAACAAUAAGAAAGCAGAUAACCACUGACAGCACGGACAAAUUUUGACAGAAUACAAAUGAACCGCCGAUCAACCAGACCAAUCGACUUAUCCUGCAGCACGUAGAUCAGAGCUUAAAGGGGACGAAUCCACCGACGGAGAUGACGACGAGGAAGAGCAGCACGUAGAUCAAAGCUUAAAGGGGACGAAUCCACCGGCAGAGAUGACGACGAGGAGCAGCAGGUAGUUCAGAGCUUAAAGGGGACGAAUCCACCGACGGAGAUGACGACGAGGAGCAGCAG